rnacentral:rRNA from 1 species
UGCCAGCAGCCGCGGUAAGACGGGGGGUCCUAGCGUUGUUCGGAAUCAUUGGGCGUAAAGCGAGGGCAGGUGGUAUGGUAAGUUGGAUGUGAAAGCCCUGGGCCUAACCCGGGAAGUGCAUUCAAAACUGCCACACUUGAGUACAGUAGGGGACCGCGGAAUUCCAGGUGUAGUGGUGAAAUACGUAGAUAUCUGGAGGAACACCAGUGGCGAAGGCGGCGGUCUGGGCUUGUACUGACACUCAUCCUCGAAAGCGUGGGGAUCAAACAGGAUUAGAUA